rnacentral:rRNA from 1 species
CCUACGGGAGGCAGCAGUAGGGAAUCUUCCACAAUGGGCGAAAGCCUGAUGGAGCAACGCCGCGUGGGUGAAGAAGGUCUUCGGAUCGUAAAACCCUGUUGUUAGAGAAGAAAGUGCGUGAGAGUAACUGUUCACGUUUCGACGGUAUCUAACCAGAAAGCCACGGCUAACUACGUGCCAGCAGCCGCGGGAAUACGUAGGUGGCAAGCGUUAGCCGGAUUUAUUGGGCGUAAAGGGAACGCAGGCGGUCUUUUAAGUAUGAUGGGAAAGCCUUCGGCUUAACCGGAGUAGGGCAUUGGAAAAUGGGAGACUUGAGUGCAGAAGAGGAGAGUGGAACUCCAUGUGUAGCGGUGAAAUGCGUAGAUAUAUGGAAGAACACCAGUGGCGAAAGCGGCUCUCUGGUCUGUAACUGACGCUGAGGUUCGAAAGCGUGGGUAGCAAACAGGAUUAGAUACCCGAGUAGUC